GAUGUGGUUAAUGAUGUACACUUUUUUCCCCGUCUUAUCGACUUUGGUGAAAAAAAAGGUUGAAAACUUUGCCAGUUAAGUCUGAAGCCACAUG
rnacentral:snoRNA from 1 species